rnacentral:lncRNA from 1 species
GGCCAUGCCGUGCCGUACCGGGCCGGCCCGUUUGGCCAGGUAUGCUCCCUUGUGAGGAGCUCGCCAUCGUCCUCCUCUCGCCCUCCCCUUCCCUCGCCGGAAGGGAGAAAAGAACUAGAGGGAGGGAGAUCCAUCCCGAUCCAUUCGGGGCUAGGGUUCGGGCGGGGCGUCGCUGGCGGCCUCUCCGCACUUCUUCGACCGGAUCCGCCGCCCCCACCUCCCCUCCAUCUCUCAGCCCCCCACCUCACGGACGACCAGAGUCGCACGGCAGAGCACCGCCGCGCCGGGGAAGAGGAGAUGAUGAUGGGGAUGAUCAACGCGAACCAGGUGGUGCACGAGCGGCCGGAGCGCGCCUCCCACCUCGCGCACGCGGCGCUUGACACGCUCGACGUCUUCGGUAACUACAGGAGCGCCCGGAUCCCCUACUCGGUUCCCCUCUUUCGUUUUUUCCUCUCUCUCCAUUGAUUGGCUUCAGCGACCGACGGGGGAUUGAUGGAUUUGUGUUUGUGUGUGCAGAUACAGUGCGGGACAUCAAGGACCCGGAGCAUCCAUACUCGCUGGCUACUAGAUCUGGAGCUGGUAAAUCACAGGUUUAUACACACGAUCCCUUUGUAAUAAGCGCCCUGGAUCUAAUCCUUCUCGAUUUAUUGAUUUCUUCCUAAUUACAUUGCAUCCAUCAUCAUCCAUGUGUAAUGUGUAGCUGAUCUUCAUCCAAUAUACUAGCAGGUUAAUUAUAGGAUUAUUCCACUUAUAUUCCUUUAAUUCGCAUGGUUAAUUAGCUCCUGCUGUACAUGCAUGUUAAUUAGAAACCGUUAGAUUUUUUUCGUUAACUUUAAUCAUCCACCGAUGCUACGCAGGAGUAGCAUGUAGUGCCCACAUUUACUUGUUGUCCAGCUGGUGCUAGUAGCCAGUACGAGUGGUGGUUCGUAUCUGUGGGUUUUCUGUUACACUUUUGACAGAAAAAAGCUGCACAAGAUCACCCCUGUCACCUGGGUGUGUCUAAUACAAACAUUACUGUCAACUAUCAAUUUGAUUCUAAAAUGUCUCAUUAACUUCAUUUCAGAUGGUUAUUUCUGAAUUUAGUACCAAUUUAUUGUUGACCUGACAUGUGCUCUGUACCAAUUUAUUGCAUUAUUCUGUUAUUUAUUGUUAAAUAUGCUGUUAGAUUUACUUUUAUUUUGUUCCUAACUGUUUUUUUUUCAAUAACGUGCAAAUGUUGGCCUUUCAUGUUUCUUCAUGAGCAUCAGGACAAAGAAGUCGGAAGAAGCUGAUCCUAUUUGUAUCUGUGUAAUAACUUGGCGCAUGUGAUAGACUGUAAACUUGUAGAGCAGAUUGCUUCUUGUUGUUAUCUGAUUGUAAACUUCAUGCUGAUCACAUUUGUAUAUGUGUUAUAUGAUGUAGCAGAUUAUAUUGCUUCUUGCUGUAAUUUGAAGUAUUGCGUCUGUUUUCUGUCUAUUUCGAUUUAAAUAUUGGUUGUUUAGUUAUCGGCAUAUUUAUUGAAAUAUGAAAAACAUGACCUUGACAACAGGACCCACAAACUAGAAUGCCACAUUUGGGACCCACUUACCAGAACCUCAUAAUUAGGGCGCAUUAAAAAAAGAAAAACAAAUGCCACAACCCAAAAAAGGCUAAAAUGUUGGGCCUGGCCCAUGUAGUUG